rnacentral:misc_RNA from 1 species
AGGUGCGCGCCCUCCCGUGAUCAGCUGAUUGAGUCAACAUGGCUUCCAUUGUGGCAACUGCAGCACGGGCUGCUCGGCUCCCUGUCGUCGUGGUUUUAGGCGCCACAGGCACGGGAAAAUCGAAGCUAGCGCUGGAAAUAGCUAGGAAAUUUAACGGAGAAAUCAUCAGCGCGGAUUCCAUGCAGGUUUACCAUGGUCUAAAUAUUAUCACCAAUAAAGUGACACCGGAAGAGCAAGCACAGGUCCCACACCACCUUUUAGAUUUUGUGGAUCCUCUAUCUCGCUAUAGUGUCACGGAUUUCCGCAAUGCCGCCCUUCCUCUGGUGGAGCAACUGCUCAGUGAAGAUAAAAUACCGGUUAUUGUUGGUGGCACCAAUUAUUAUAUCGAGUCUCUGCUCUGGAAUGUCCUGAUGGAUUCCGUGCCAACUGAAAAGACUGGCAAUCCGAAGCUUGUUUACGAGCGGGAUAGAGAGAUUUAUGGCAGUGCUAAGAGAAAUUUAAGUAGUGAUGAUACCGGUGAAGGUGUUUUGAAAAAGUGUAAGAUAAGUGGUGCUAUUAGUGACAGUGUGAGUGAUAGUGUUAGAGCUAAGAAAGAUGGUGGUGAUAGUGUUAUCAGUGCUGUAGAAAAGGAGUGUGUUGAGGGUGAUAUGGGAGGUGAUGAUGUGAAAAGAAAGGGAAAAGAAAUGGAAAAGGUUAAAGAUAACGAAAGUGCAAGUGAGAGCAAAUGUGAUGAAUUAACAGCUCAGUGUCGGGUGUGGCAAGACACGGAUAUCCCAACCGAGGAAUUAUAUCGCCGAUUACAGGAAGUUGAUCCGGAUAUAGCAUCACGAUAUCAUCCAAAUGAACGCAGGAAAAUAAUCAGGUCGCUGCAGGUGUGGGAGCAGACGGGUCGGCGCCACAGCCAGCUGCUGGAGCAGCAGCAGCAGCAGGAAGGCGGCUCCAGCCUCGGGGGCGGCCUCAGGUACCCCAACACUGCCAUCCUCUGGGUCACAUGCCAGCAGGAUGUUCUCGAACAGCGAUUGGAUACCCGGGUGGAUGAGAUGAUCGAGCGAGGGCUUCUUCAGGAACUGAAAGACUUUCACACUUCAUAUAAUGCCAAGCGUCUGGAGGAUGGAGAAGCCGCAGACUACACCAAGGGCAUUUUCCAGAGUAUAGGGUUUAAAGAAUUCCACAAAUUCUUAAUCUUGCCAGCACAAGAACAAAAAAGUGACAAAGGGACAGCAAUGUACAAGGAUGGUGUUGAAGCAAUGAAAUUGGCAACCCGCCAGUAUACCAAGAAACAAAUAAGGUGGAUUAGAAACCGGUUUAUUCUUCCAUCAGGACGACAGAAGACAAGACACGACAUGAAUGCACAGUAUGUAAUCGUGUGGUGAUUGGGGAAAAAAUUUGGAAAGAGCAUAUACAAGGAGCCAAACAUAGGAAAAUGUUGAAAAGGACACAUGCUACUAAGAAAGCAGCAGAGGUUGGCAUUCUUGUGACUAACAACAACAUAAAAUUCUCUGCCGUCUCCACUACGCCCCACAACCCAAUGAUCCUGUGAAGUUUUCACAACUAGCUCUCCGCUAUUGCACCUGAAAUGUGAAAUCUUAUGUAACUUUUCAUAAAUAUUAACAAUUACAUUCUGUAAAUAUA